ACUAGGCCGCAGGCUCUGUUUACCGCAGCCCUCCCAGCUUCCUCUUCCUCUCUGUAAAAGCUGCUGCUUCCCUUACUGCUCAGGGACUUGCACGUGGCUCGCUGUGGUUGCAAACCCUGCACUGCACAUUUCUGCUGAUCCCGUGUAAACCUGUCUGUGCUGGAGGAAGAUCUGGCAUCUGUUUAUUUCAGGUCAGCAGCUCCGUUCAGUUGAGUUUCUCCCCACUCCUUGUAUGAAUUCUGCUGUCAGCCGUGUUGAGCCCUUAUUCAAGUGCCCGGAACACAGGGUGAUCUUUUGGUACCUCUGCUCCUCAAACAGGGUUCUUUCUGUCACCUGCCUAAAAACUCCACAUCCUUUAAGACCCAGCUGAAAUGCUGUCUACUUGGGGAGCCUUCAGUGUCUCACAGUUUUAGUUUCUUCUGGUCUAAAAUUCAAGCCAUCAGCCUUUUGCGGACAGACAGGGAGCGACGCUAACCCACAGCCGGAACAGAGGAGUGUGCGACUGAGGCUGAGCUUUAGCAGGUGGCUGCCGUCUUCCCACAGGAGGCUUUAGAGGGACAGCGAAGCAGCAAACCGCCCACAUACGGCGGGCCAGCCGGUCCCCCGGGGAACGUCGUGUCCACAGCAGCCUGCAGGGUUUGUGAGAAAUAAAGACUCUUCAUAAAACCGUG